AUGCCAUUCGAAACCAUGAGCUCCUAAUGCUGUGACCAAAGAUUGAAGUUCUCCAUAGGAUGCCACUGUCACUCAAUAGUGCUAUGUUUUCCUGAGGAGAUAUCAGA
rnacentral:snoRNA from 1 species